GCUUUGGUGGCCUAGUGAUUAGAGCAUCAACCUCUGAUGCAGGGGGUUGUGGGUUCGAACCCUAUCUGAGUCA